ensembl:snoRNA
AGCACUUGUGUAUGUUACUGUUUAGCUUCCAGACAUACAGAAAGGCAAAAAACAAACCCCCUUUUACAAGCCAGACCUCACUGUUCAGUAUGAGUUUUGAUAUAUAUAAAAAGGAAUGUU